GACGAACGCUGGCGGCGUGCCUAAUACAUGCAAGUCGAACGCUUCUUUCCUCCCGAGUGCUUGCACUCAAUUGGAAAGAGGAGUGGCGGACGGGGGAUUAACACGUGGGUAACCUACCCAUCAGAGGGGGAUAACACUUGGAAACAGGUUCUAAUACCGCAUAACAGUUUAUGCCGCAUGGCAUAAGAGUGAAAGGCGCUUUCGGGUGUCGCUGAUGGCUGGAUCCUCGGUUCAUUGGCUAGUUGGGGAGGUAACGGUUGACCAAGGCCACGAUGCAUAGCCGACCUGAGAGGGUGAUCGGCCACACUGGGACUGAGACACGGCCCAGACUCCUACGGGAGGCAGCAGUAGGGAAUCUUCGGCAAUGGACGAAAGUCUGACCGAGCAACGCCGCGUGAGUGACAAAGAUUUUCGGAUCGUAAAACUCUGUUGUUAGAGAAGAACAAGGACGUUAGUAACUGAACGUCGCCUGACGGUAUCUAACCAGAAAGCCACGGCUAACUACGUG
rnacentral:rRNA from 1 species